UACGUAGGGUGCGAGCGUUAAUCGGAAUUACUGGGCGUAAAGCGUGCGCAGGCGGCUUCUCAAGUCAGGGGUGAAAGCCCAGAGCUCAACUCUGGAAUUGCCUUUGAGACUGAGUGGCUUGAGUACGAGAGAGGUUAGUGGAAUUCCCAGUGUAGAGGUGAAAUUCGUAGAUAUUGGGAAGAACACCAGUGGCGAAGGCGGCUAACUGGUCCAGCACCGACGCUGAGGUGCGAAAGCGUGGGGAGCAAACAGG
rnacentral:rRNA from 1 species